UGAUUUCUGCUUUUCAGGAGUGGCCACAGGUACCAAAGGAUGGCACAUCAUACCAGGAAUUUGUUGAUCUAGUGCAGUGGAACUGCAAGGCAGAGUUCAGCGGUAUCGGGAUCAAAGGAUUAGGAAGCCGCAGCUUUAAGGGAGGCAAGCAGCAUGAGAAGACUUUGUGGAGGCAGCUCUGAGCAUUUUAGAAGAAUAAAUUGAGGCCCUGCAAGGAUUAAGGAAUCUGUACAAAGUCACACGGCUGAACUAUGAAAAGCAACUAGAGGACAUUCUCCCCCUUGAAGAUAAUCACUUUUAUUGUUGCCGGGU
rnacentral:lncRNA from 1 species